GACGAACGCUGGCGGCGUGCUUAACACAUGCAAGUGGAGCGACGAACCGGGCUUCGGCCCGGGGCAGAGCCGCGAACGGGUGAGUAACACGUGGGUAACGUGCCCCGAUGACUGGGACAACCCGGGGAAACCCGGGCUAAUACCAGAUGUGCCCUUCCGCCACCAGGCGGUCUGGUAAAGGUAGCUUCGGCUUCCGCAUCGGGAUCGGCCCGCGGCCCACUAGCUUGUUGGUGGGGUAAAGGCCUACCAAGGCGACGAUGGGUAGCUGGUCUGAGAGGACGAUCAGCCACACUGGGACUGAGACACGGCCCAGACUCCUACGGGAGGCAGCAGUGGGGAAUCUUGCGCAAUGCGCGAAAGCGUGACGCAGCAACGCCGCGUGGGGAAGACGGCC
rnacentral:rRNA from 1 species